rnacentral:rRNA from 1 species
AGUGAACGCUGGCGGCGUGCUUAACACAUGCAAGUCGAACGGACGAAAUGAGCUUGCUUAUUUCGUUAGUGGCGCACGGGUGAGUAAUGUAUAGCUAACCUGCCCUUUAGUGGGGGACAACAGGUGGAAACGACUGCUAAUACCCCAUACUCCUUCUUAGCGUAAGAUAAGUUGGUAAAGAUUUAUUGCUAAAGGAUGGGGCUUUAUGGUAUCAGCUAGUUGGUGGGGUAAUGGCCUACCAAGGCGACGACGCCUACCUGGUCUGAGAGGAUGAUCAGGCACACUGGAACUGAGACACGGUCCAGACUCCUACGGGAGGCAGCAGUGGGGAAUAUUGCACAAUGGGGGAAACCCUGAUGCAGCAACGCCGCGUGGAGGAUGACGCAUUUCGGUGUGUAAACUCCUUCUAUAAGGGAAGAUAAUGACGGUACCUUAUGAAUAAGCACCGGCUAACUCCGUGCCAGCCGCCGCAGUAA